GAUGAACGCUAGCUACAGGCUUAACACAUGCAAGUCGAGGGGAAACGGCAUUAAGUGCUUGCACUUUUUGGACGUCGACCGGCGCACGGGUGAGUAACGCGUAUCCAACCUUCCCAUGACUAAGGGAUAACCUGCCGAAAGGCAGACUAAUACCUUAUGGUCUUCACUGACGGCAUCAGAUGUGAAGUAAAGAUUUAUCGGUUAUGGAUGGGGAUGCGUCUGAUUAGCUUGUUGGCGGGGUAACGGCCCACCAAGGCAACGAUCAGUAGGGGUUCUGAGAGGAAGGUCCCCCACAUUGGAACUGAGACACGGUCCAGACUCCUACGGGAGGCAGCAGUGAGGAAUAUUGGUCAAUGGUCGGAAGACUGAACCAGCCAUGCCGCGUGCAGGAAGAAUGCCUUAUGGGUUGUAAACUGCUUUUAUAUGGGAAGAAUAAGGCGUACGUGUACGUUGAUGACGGUACCAUAUGAAUAAGCAUCGGCUAAUUCCGUGCCAGCAGCCGCGGUAAUACGGAGGAUGCGAGCGUUAUUCGGAAUCAUUGGGUUUAAAGGGUCUGUAGGCGGGCUAUUAAGUCAGGGGUGAAAGGUUUCAGCUUAACUGAGAAAUUGCCUUUGAUACUGGUAGUCUUGAAUAUCUGUGAAGUUCUUGGAAUGUGUAGUGUAGCGGUGAAAUGCUUAGAUAUUACACAGAACACCGAUUGCGAAGGCAGGGGACUAACAGACAAUUGACGCUGAGAGACGAAAGCGUGGGGAGCGAACAGG
rnacentral:rRNA from 1 species